rnacentral:rRNA from 1 species
UGCGUAGGCGGCCUGAUAAGUCAGAGGUGAAAGCCCACAGCUUAACUGUGGAAUUGCCUUUGAUACUGUUGGGCUUGAAUUAGGUUGAGGUUAGCGGAAUGUGGCAUGUAGCGGUGAAAUACAUAGAUAUGCCAUAGAACACCAAUUGCGAAGGCAGCUGGCUAGACCUUAAUUGACGCUGAGGCACGAAAGCGUGGGGAGCGAACAGGAUUAGAUACCCUGGUAGUCC